rnacentral:rRNA from 1 species
UACGUAGGGUGCAAGCGUUGUCCGGAAUUAUUGGGCGUAAAGAGCUCGUAGGCGGUUUGUCGCGUCUGCUGUGAAAACCCGAGGCUCAACCUCGGGCCUGCAGUGGGUACGGGCAGACUAGAGUGCGGUAGGGGAGAUUGGAAUUCCUGGUGUAGCGGUGGAAUGCGCAGAUAUCAGGAGGAACCCCAAUGGCGAAGGCAGAUCUCUGGGCCGUAACUGACGCUGAGGAGCGAAAGCAUGGGGAGCGAACGGG